rnacentral:rRNA from 1 species
GACGAACGCUGGCGGCGUGCCUAACACAUGCAAGUCGAGCGGGGAUUUAAGUGGAAGUUCUUCGGAAUGGAGAUUUAAAUUCUAGCGGCGGACGGGUGAGUAACGCGUGAACAAUCUGUCCCGGACAGGGGGAUAACACUUGGAAACAGGUGCUAAUACCGAAUAAGACCACGGCCUCGCAUGGGGCUGAGGUAAAAGGAGCAAUCCGGUUCGGGGUGAGUUCGCGUCCGAUUAGCUAGUUGGUGAGGUAACGGCCCACCAAGGCGACGAUCGGUAGCCGGCCUGAGAGGGUGAACGGCCACAUUGGAACUGAGAGACGGUCCAAACUCCUACGGGAGGCAGCAGUGGGGAAUAUUGGGCAAUGGGCGAAAGCCUGACCCAGCAACGCCGCGUGAGGGAAGAAGGUUUUCGGAUUGUAAACCUCUGUCCUAUGGGACGAAGGAAGUGACGGUACCAUAGGAGGAAGCCCCGGCUAACUACGUG